rnacentral:rRNA from 1 species
GACGAACGCUGGCGGCGUGCCUAAUACAUGCAAGUCGAACGCAGUGGGGACGGGUGAGUAACACGUGGGUAACCUCGGAUAAGAGGGGAUAACACGUGGCAACAGGUGCUAAAACCGAUACUGAAGGAUGGACCCGGGUUGAAUUAGCUAGUUGGUGAGGUAACGGCUCACCAAGGCCACGAGGCCUAGCGGGCCUGAGAGGGUGACCGGCCACACUGGGACUAAGACACGGCCCAGACUCCUACGGGAGGCAGCAGUGGGGAAUCUUGGGCAAUGGGCGAAAGCCUGACCGAGCCAUGCCGCGUGAGUGAAGAAGGCUUUCGGAUUGUAAAGCUCUGUUAGUAGAGAAGCGUUACCUAAACAGAAAGCAACGGCUAACUCCGUGCCAGCCGCCGCGGUAAUAC